ensembl:snRNA U1 U1 spliceosomal RNA
AUACUUACCUGGCAGGGGAGAUACCAUGAUCAUGAAGGUGGUUUCCCCAGAGUGAGGCUCAUCCAUUGCACUUCGGAUGUGUUGACCCCUGCGAUUUCCCCAAAUGUGGGAAACUCGACUGCAUAAUUUGUGGUAGUGGGGGACUGCGUUCGCGCUUUACGCUG